rnacentral:ncRNA from 1 species
AUACGAAAAGGCAAACCUAGCGAAAGUUAGGGACGCAAAGCCACGGGCCUCAUUUUCAUGUGGCGGCCGGGCUGCCGAAA